rnacentral:rRNA from 1 species
CGGCGAACACCAAAGCAGGUUGGAAACNUGACCUUGAUCUUGACCUCAAAUCAGGUAGGACUACCCGCUGAACUUAAGCAUAUCAAUAAGCGGAGGAAAAGAAACUAACAAGGAUUCCCCCUAGUAACUGCGAGUGAACCGGGAAAAGCUCAAAUUUUGAAUCUGGUAGUCGUUUUGGCUGCCCGAGUUGUAAUCUAGAGAAGCGUUUUCUGUGCUGGACCGUGUACAAGUCUCCUGGAAGGGAGCGUCAUAGAGGGUGAGAAUCCCGUCUUUGACACGGACUACCAGUGCUAUGUGAUGCGCUCUCGACGAGUCGAGUUGUUUGGGAAUGCAGCUCAAAAUGGGUGGUAAAUUCCAUCUAAAGCUAAAUACAGGCGAGAGACCGAUAGCGAACAAGUACCGUGAGGGAAAGAUGAAAAGAACUUUGGAAAGAGAGUUAAACAGUACGUGAAAUUGCUGAAAGGGAAACGCUUGAUGUCAGUCGCGUCGGUCAGGGAUCAACCUUGCAGUCUUGCUGGGUGCAUUUCCUGGUCGACGGGUCAGCAUCAGUUUCUGUUCGCCGUACAAUGGCUUAGGGAAUGUGGCACUCUUUCGGGAGUGUGUUAUAGCCCUUUGUCGUAUGCGGUGGUCGGGACUGA